rnacentral:rRNA from 1 species
AUGGCGGACGGGUGAGUAACGCGUAAGAACUUGCCCUUUAGACUGGGAUAACAGAGGGAAACUUCUGAUAAUACUGGAUAAGUUAGUAUAUCGCAUGAUAUGCAAAUGAAAGCUACGGCACUAAAGGAGAGCUUUGCGUCCUAUUAGCUAGUUGGUAAGGUAAGAGCUUACCAAGGCGAUGAUAGGUAGCCGGCCUGAGAGGGUGGACGGCCACAAGGGGACUGAGAUACGGCCCUUACUCCUACGGGAGGCAGCAGC